GACGAACGCUGGCGGCGUGCUUAACACAUGCAAGUCGAACGGAAAGGCCCUGCGUUUGCGGGGUGCUCGAUUGGCGAACGGGUGAGUAACACGUGAGUAUCCUGCCCCUGACUUUGGGGUAACUUCAGGAAAAUGGGGCUAAUACCCGAUAGGAUCUCCUGCUCCAUGGGGGGGGUAGGAAAGUUUCGGCGGUUGGGGCUGGACUCGCGGCUUAUCAGCUUGUUGGUGGGGUAGUGACUUACCAGGGCUUUGACGGGUAGCCGGCCUGAGAGGGUGACCGGCCACAUUAGGACUGAGAUACGGCCCAGACUCCUACGGGAGGCAGCAGUGGGGAAUAUUGCACAACGGGCGGAAGCCUGAUGCAGCAACGCCGCGUGCGGGAUGACGGCCUUCGGGUUAUAAACCGCUUUCGCAGGUGACGAAGAGUGAGUGACGGUAAUGGGUAAAGAAGCACCGGCUAACUACGUG
rnacentral:rRNA from 1 species